rnacentral:rRNA from 1 species
UUCGAUUAAGCCAUGCGAGUCGCGAGUCUUAGGGACUCGGCGUAUCGCUCAGUAACACGUGGGUAACCUGCCCUAUGCUGGGGAAUAACCUCGGGAAACUGAGAAUAAUGCCCCAUAGUUCACCACGCCUGGAACGGUGGGUGGAUCAAAGCUCCGGCGGCAUAGGAUGGGCCUGCGGCGUAUCAGGUCGUAGGGGGUGUAAUGUACCCUCUAGCCAUCGACGCGUACGGGUGUUGGGAGACAUUGCCCGGAGAUGGAUUCUGAGACACGAAUCCAGACCCUACGGGGUGCAGCAGGCGCGAAAACUUGGCAAUGCGAGAAAUCGUGACCAGGGAACUCCAAGUGCAUCGGGUAAGACCGAUGCUUUUCUUGACUCUUCAACGGUCUUGGAAUAAGGGGUGGGUAAGGACGGUGCCAGCCGCCGCGGUAAUACCGGCGCCUCAAGUGGUAGUCGCUUUUAUUGGGCCUAAAACGUCCGUAGCCGGUUUGGUACAUUCGUGGGUAAAUCAAGGCGCUCAACGUCUUGAAUUCUGCGAGCACGGCCAGACUUGGGACCGGGUGAGGUGUGGGGUACUCUCAGGGUAGGGGUAAAAUCCUGUCAUCCUGAGAGGACCACCUGUUGCGAAGGCGCCACACUAGAACGGAUCCGACGGUCAGGGACGAAGCCUAGGGGCACGAACCGGAUUAGAUACCCGGGUAGUCCUAGGUGUAAACGCUGUGGACUUGAUGUUGGGAGUGCUCCGAGCACCCUCAGUGUCGAAGCGAAGGUGAUAAGUCCACUGCCUGGGGAGUACGGUCGCAAGGCUGAAACUUAAAGGAAUUGGCGGGGGAGCACUGCAACCUGAGGAUUGUGCG